rnacentral:rRNA from 1 species
AACGAUGAUAACUGGGCGUAUGCGAUAUACAGUAUGCUCCUAAGCGAAAGCGUUAAGUUAUCCACCUGGGGAGUACGCCGGCAACGGUGAAACUCAAAGGAAUUGACGGGGGCCCGCACAAGCGGAGGAACAUGUGGUUUAAUUCGAUGAUACGCGAGGAACCUUACCCGGGAUUGAAAUGUAGAUGACAGGCGGUGAAAGCUGCUCUCCCUUCGGGGCAUCUAUGUAGGUGCUGCAUGGCUGUCGUCAG